rnacentral:rRNA from 1 species
AUUGAACGCUGGCGGCAGGCUUAACACAUGCAAGUCGAACGAUGACUCUCUAGCUUGCUAGAGAAGAUUAGUGGCGGACGGGUGAGUAACAUUUAGGAAUCUGCCUAGUAGUGGGGGAUAGCUCGGGGAAACUCGAAUUAAUACCGCAUACGACCUACGGGUGAAAGGGGGCGCAAGCUCUUGCUAUUAGAUGAGCCUAAAUCAGAUUAGCUAGUUGGUGGGGUAAAGGCCUACCAAGGCGACGAUCUGUAACUGGUCUGAGAGGAUGAUCGGUCACACCGGAACUGAGACACGGUCCGGACUCCUACGGGAGGCAGCAGUGGGGAAUAUUGGACAAUGGGGGCAACCCUGAUCCAGCCAUGCCGCGUGUGUGAAGAGGGCCUUUUGGUUGUAAAGCACUUUAAGCAGGGAGGAGAGGCUAAUGGUUAAUACCCAUUAGAUUAGACGUUACCUGCAGAAUAAGCACCGGCUAACUCUGUGCCAGCCGCCGCCGUAA